CGCCCUAUCGCAGCAGUCGAAUCGUCCCGCUUUCCCUCGAGAUGGCCGCCGCACGAUAUGGGAUUAGUGUACGCAUUACCGUGGCAGUCUCCUGUCACGGUUCCUGCCGCCGCAGGGGAACAGCUCCAGCGUGGCCUCUGCGGUUUGUUUUUUCUACCCGUCCCAUUGCAUACCGACGCGGCCCGUGAGCACGGAAAAAACCACGCAACACACAGCGCACUGCCCGGUCUCCUUCAUCUUCGCUCCAAUGGAUUGGGGGCAGGGACGCGAUUCAAUCUCGCCGGCGCUCGCCGCACCAGGCACCUCCCCGGCGGCCGGCUUCAGAUCCAACCAAGCUGCCGGCGGACCGUCCUCCGCAGCCAGGCAGAUCGAUGGAAAGUGUACGCGGUCGGAUCUAUCGUGGUGUCCAGCCAUCCAGGAUAUUGCGCGAGUCCCAGAUGAAACAACAUGCUCCAAUGCGCACAUGGGACUAGUAACGCCUCCGGCCACACUGAGGGGC